rnacentral:rRNA from 1 species
UACGAGGGGGGCGAGCGUUGUUCGGAAUUAUUGGGCGUAAAGGGUGCGUAGGCGGUUUGGUAAGUCUUGUGUGAAAUCUACAGGCUCAACUUGUAGUCUGCACGAGAAACUGCCGGGCUUGAGUAUGGGAGAGGUGAGUGGAAUUCCUGGUGUAGCGGUGAAAUGCGUAGAUAUCAGGAGGAACACCUGUGGCGAAAGCGGCUCACUGGACCAUAACUGACGCUGAGACGCGAAAGCCAGGGGAGCGAACGGG